rnacentral:tRNA from 1 species
CGGGGUGUGGCUCAGUCUGGUAGAGCGCUGCGCUGGGGGUGCAGAGGUCCCGCGUUCAAGUCGCGGCACCCCGACCA